UGGGGAAUAUUGCACAAUGGAGGGAACUCUGAUGCAGCGACGCCGCGUGAACGAAGAAGGCUUUCGAGUCGUAAAGUUCUUUUAUAUGGGAAGAUAAUGACGGUACCAUAAGAAAAAGCCCCGGCUAACUACGUGCCAGCAGCCGCGGUAAUACGUAGGGGGCUAGCGUUGCCCGGAAUCACUGGGCGUAAAGGGUUCGCAGGCGGAAAUGCAAGUCAGGUGUAAAAGGCAGUAGCUUAACUACUGUAAGCAUUUGAAACUGCAUAUCUUGAGAAGAGUAGAGGUAAGUGGAAUUUUUAGUGUAGCGGUGAAAUGCGUAGAUAUUAAAAAGAAUACCGGAGGCGAAGGCGACUUACUGGGCUCAUUCUGACGCUGAGGAACGAAAGCGUGGGUAGCAAACAGG
rnacentral:rRNA from 1 species